GUAGACACCGCGCCACCCGCUCCGGGACGCCGCCCAGCGACAAGGCCGCGGGGUCAGCGUGUCUGUACCGGUGCUGCAACGGGAGGGUCGGGCGGCGACGCUCUCACUGCCGGGCCAGAAGGAGGCCUCCCGGCUCCCUCACGCUAGAAGGGAGCUGGUUACCAGAGGUUUUCAGAGACGCCAAAGUUUUGCCAGCACCCCGCCUCUCUCUCAUUUCUGGUCUAGGAAUCAGGAGUGUAGGUUCCUGUCUGGCUUCAGCACUGACUCUGGGAGACCUUGACCCAGUUCCAUUCCCUGGCAGGGUCUUCUUUCCUGUGAAAUGGAGCCAAUCGCUCCGCUGGCUGGACAAGUGCAGAGGAGGCCUCUUCCUGUAGCCAAGGAACUUGCCCCGGGCCUUCGGGGCCUUGGGCCCUCUUGGGCUCCAUAUCAGCUGACUGGGCCUGGCUGCCAGGAAGGGUGCUGGCUGCAGCCCCACCAGGAGCAGUAGCAGAGUGGACACACAGCCCAUAGUGGCUGAGCCGCCUCUGCAGUCCUGCUGGGGCCUUUGCUUGGGAGACACAAAGGCCCCUUGUCUAGCCUCCUGCGCCUAUUGUCUAAGCUGGGCCACGCACCUUCCAGGGACCUAAGUAUCCUCAUAGCCCGAGUUAUAGGGCCUAGGCCUUCAGGUUCCAGUGUGGGGAAGACCCUUUGGGCACUGGAACUCCAGCCAACCCUCUCUUUCUCUCCCCUCUUCCAAAACUUCAAACCUUAUACUGUCACUGCCAUUUAGCCCAGGAGAAACAAGUUUCUUUGACGCCAAGUUGAGGACCCAGGCUCGACCUUAGCCUUCAGCGGGCAAAUCUGGUUGGUGGCCUGCCCAGGGCUCUGCCCCUGCUCUGGCCCAAUUCCCUUACUUUACAGCUGAGGAAACUGCAUUCCUGAGACAUACAGCGUUUCAGCUACCACACAGGUGACUUAGUGAGGCUUGAGGAGCAGAGGAAGGGGCCUAGUCCUUGAACCCCAUAGCCUUGGGUUUAGAUUCCAGUCUUACCUCACCUGUCCUAUGACUCCUCUCUGAGCCUGAGUUUCCUCUUUUGCAAAAGGGAGUAAUACUAAUCUCUCACUUGCUGGCCUGUCUUAAAUUUUUUGAGAAAGGGCCUCACUCUGUCACCCAGGCCGUAGUGCAGUGGCAUGAUCACAGCACACUACAGUCUCUAUGUCCCAGGGCCAAGGGAUCCUCCCAUCUCAGCCUCCCAAGUAGCUGGGAAUACAGGCACAUGCCACCAUGCCGGGCUAAUUUGUAAAUUUUUUGUAGAGAUGGGAUCUCCCUGUGUUGACCAGGCUGGUCUCAAACUGCUGAGUCCAAGCAGUCCUCCUGCCUCGGCCUCCCAAAGUGCUGGGAUUCCAGGCAUGAGCCCCUGCACCCUAUCCUUAAAUUCUUUUUUCAUGGUUUUAUUCAUCAUCCCAAGCUGUCUGGGCUCAAGGCGUUAGUAUCCCAUGCAAUGAGGGCCUAGAAGUUUCGUCUCCUGACAUCCUCCCCAGGCAGUCCCAUCGCUGGGUUUCAGAGGCCAUCAAGCCCAGCAGGCUUCAAAUCCCCCAACAGAGUCCCCCUUACCUGGGGCUGCCUGGGGAACUCCCAUCCCACUUCAACUUGAGCACCUUUGCCUUUGUAUUUUUAUUUAUUUACAUUUCCUGGUAAGAAUUUGUUGCAAGCACAUGAAAGAUUUUGUGGCUGAAGUAAUGUAAAACCAUUGAUCAAACCGGAAAUUGAGACACAGCCAGCGUCACACAACAGGCCAUCUGAAAGGCUGGAAUAGCAUCGAGGGAGUCUCCCUGGAACCAAGCAGCCAAGGCAGGCUAAUGGUGAAGGCCCAGGCACAGUAAUGGUCCCCUGGAGAUGGAGUCCUGCUCUGUCAUCCAUGCUGGAGUGCAGUGGCGUGAUCUCAGCUCACUGCAACCUCCGCCUCCUGGGUUCAAGUGAUUCUCCUGCCUCAGCCUCCCAAGUAGCUGGGAUUACAAGUGUGCACCAUCACACCCUGCUGAUUUUUGUAUUUUUAGUAGAGACAGGGUUUCACCAUGUUGGCCAGGCUGUUCUUGAACUCCUGGCCUAAAGCGAUCCACCCGCCUUGGCCUCCCAAAGUCCUGGGAUUACAGGCGUGAGCCACCGUACCUGACCCCUGUCCCUGAACAUUUGUCACAAUAUAUUAUGAGUGAAUGAGUAAGAACUCUAUUUUAGUGGUCACCUUCUUUGUGCUAGUCAUUAAGUUUAAGGUAUCUCGCUUAAUAUUCUCCAGAACCCUGUGAGAUAGGCAUUAUUUUAUUCUCAUGUGACAUGUAGAGAAACAGGUUCAGAAAGGGGAAGCGAAAGUCCAAAGCAGUGAAUCUGCGGUGGGUCUCCUGGCCCCAGAAUUGCAGCCUGAUGGGAAGGAAGGCCCUGCUGAGUUCCCAGAGUUAUGGCUGGGUCAUGGCAUUGGGACCCACACUGGCAGCUCCAGUUACACAGGGCUGGGCUGGCUCUAGCAGCCUUGUCUUACUUGCUCCCUGAACUGCUGCAUUGACCUGCACCAUCCUCCCUUCCCUUGCCAGCCGAGAACUGUGCUCCUCAGGUUUCCUGGGCAGGGUCCAGGGCUCUGAUGCCAAACGCAGCCUGGAAACUCUAGCUCUCAGCAUGCCAGGAUGCGGGCACCCAAGUGAGGCCGCCUGGGAUGCAGGAAGCUUAGUCCAGGCCUGGGCAUGCCUCUGUUCCAUCUCCCCUCAAGCAGGACCAGCUACUUAAUCUGCGGGACCCAGAGCAGAAUGAAAAUGUGGGCCCCUCAUUCAAAAAUUUAAAAUUUCCAACAAAAGAAUGAAAAAAUAAGAAAAAAUUAAGAAUUUCAAGAUGGUGAUAGCAGAGUAUUUAACACUUCAAAUCAUGACCCUUACUGUCCAGGUCACAUGCCCACAAAGUCAGCCCUGUCGUCAGGCCUUGGUUUCCUUGUCUGUCAAGUGGGAGAAUGGUAGCCACUGGCCAAAAGGGUGAGGGUGAGAAUGAGGUGGGAGCUGGUGGUAAGAGGUCCAGUGAACAGCAUGAGGAUGAGGUAAGAGUCUCCAAGUUCAUGAUUUGUUAUCUGGGUCUCAGCACCGGGUGGCAGGCCAAACUCCUUGCCAGGAGUUUGAUUGCUUACAACAGCUCUUUUUCACAGAACCAAAAAACUAAAAAUCCAUGAAGCAAAGUAACUUGCUCAGGGUCACACAGAGACUCAGUGGGGGAAGCCAAGAUCAGAGUUCUGGCCUGGCUCUCUUCGAAGCUGGUGCUUUUUGUGACCCAGGCAGGAGAGAGAGAAGCGCAGGAGGGAGGUGGGAUGGGGACAGGCUGCUCAGGACAAAGAGGGCCACUGUGCAGACACAAAGACCUGACCACAGAGGCCCCUCUGGGGGCUGGGACAGACAAAUGGAUGGAGCCCUGUGACUCUAUCUGUGGUGACUGGGGUAGCUGCCAGGAGCUGCCUCCUAGACCCUACCUGGUUGUGAUGAGGGUUGGGGAGGGUGUUGGUGUGCAGGAACCAGGAAAUGGGUCAGGGAGGAGAAACAAACUCAGAGAUGGGCCCCUUCCCCACUCCCCAGGCCUCUGACCCCAUCUCCCCCUAGCUCCUCCUGGGCAGCCUGCCAGCUUAUGGAAUCUCCCACAAACCAUCCACCGCCCCACAUUCCUCCUUCUCAGUGAGGGUGAGGCUCAGGCAACUCACUGUCUGGCAGUCCCAGCCUCACAAUACUUCUGACCCUUCCCCAUCACCAGUGGCAGGAUGAAGCAUAUGCCCUCGGCGCAGUGUCCUUCAGGGCCCUGUGUGACCUGCCCUGCUGACCUUUCUUCACUCACCUGUCCCCACUCCUCCUCAGCCUUCUACGCUGCAGUCACAUGGAACGUCCCACCAUUCUCCAAACACUCUGUCCUUUCAUACACACACCCCCAUGUUGGCUCAUGCUUUUCCUUCUUCCUGGGGGGCUGUUUCCCCUGCUCCAGUAGACUGAAAUCCCAUUUCUCCUCCAUGAACCAGCUCAAAUGCCACCUCCAGUAGCCAGCUUUCCUCCAUGCCCACAGUUGGGUUUAGCUUCGCUCAUUAACCUGUUAAUCUACACAUGUUGGGUUCACCCACUCUAGCGGUGCUCCUCCCACGCUGGCUUGUGUUGUAGUUGUUCCAAUCCACAAAGCCUACCUGGAAGAGGGGACCUUUGAGCUGAGCCUUACAGGACAGGUGGACUUCACUAGUGAAUGUCAGUGGUAAGAAGUGACAGGAGCUCAAAGAAUCAGGGAUAUCAGCCCUAUCUCCAAAAUUUUAUCUGCAUCAGCCAGGUUGCUGAGUUCAAAUAGCAAGGAGUCUAUAGUUCAGAAUGGCAGGAGUUGAGUGUGCAGGGACACUGUCAAGGGAUAAAGUUAAGAGGUUCACCAGGGCCAAGCCACGAAGGGUUUUAUAAUGCCAUACUAAGGAAUUUUUUUGCUUGCUUGUUUAAAACACAUUUGAAUUUAUUUCUCAGCUCUAUAGUUUACUAAGUAAUUAAGUUCUGGCUUUUAUCUUUACUAUUUUCUCCCUCUUAAUUACCUUGGGUAGCUUUUCUGUUCUUUUUCUACAAGCUUAUUAAAGUGAAUACUUAGGCUGGGUGCGGUGGCUCAUGCCUGUAAUCCUAGCACUUUGGGAGGCCGAGGUGGGUGGAUCACUUGAGGCCAGGAGUUUGACUGGCCUGGCCAACAUGAUGAAACCCCGUCCCUACUAAAAAUACAAAAAUUAGCCGGUCAUGGUGGCACACGCUUGUAAUUCCAGCUACUCGGGAGGCUGAGGCGUGAAAAUCACUUGAACCCAGGAGUUGGAGGUUGCAGUGAGCCAAGAUCAUGCCGCUGUACUCCAGCCUGAGUGACAGAGCAAGACUCUGUCUCAAAAUAAAUAAAUAAAUAAAUAAAUAAAUGUGAAUACCUAUUUUGUUGUCAUUCUUUUUCAAUAAUGUAAGCAUUUUUAAGGCUAUCAUUUCCCUCUGAAUUCAGCU
rnacentral:lncRNA from 1 species